rnacentral:rRNA from 1 species
GAUGAACGCUGGCGGCGUGCCUAAUACAUGCAAGUCGAGCGAACAGACGAGGAGCUUGCUCCUCUGACGUUAGCGGCGGACGGGUGAGUAACACGUGGAUAACCUACCUAUAAGACUGGGAUAACUUCGGGAAACCGGAGCUAAUACCGGAUAAUAUGUUGAAUCGCAUGGUUCAACAGUGAAAGACGGUCUUGCUGUCACUUAUAGAUGGAUCCGCGCCGCAUUAGCUAGUUGGUAAGGUAACGGCUUACCAAGGCAACGAUGCGUAGCCGACCUGAGAGGGUGGUCGGCCACACUGGAACUGAGACACGGUCCAGACUCCUACGGGAGGCAGCAGUAGGGAAUCUGCCGCAAUGGACGAAAGCCUGACGGAGCAACGCCGCGUGAGUGAAGAAGGUCUUCGGAUCGUAAAACUCUGUUAUUAGGGAAGAACAAAUGUGUAAGUAACUAUGCACGUCUUGACGGUACCUAAUCAGAAAGCCACGGCUAACUACGUG